rnacentral:rRNA from 1 species
GACGAACGCUGGCGGUGUGCUUAACACAUGCAAGUGGAGCGACGAACCAGAGCUUGCUCUGGGGCAGAGCCGCGAACGGGUGAGUAACACGUGGGUAACGUACCCGAUUACCGGGACAACCCGAGGAAACUCGGGCUAAUACCGGAUGUGCUCCCUCCCCAUGAGGGGAGUGAGUAAAGGAAGCUUCGGCCUCCGAAUCGGGAGCGGCCCGCGGCCUAUUAGUUGUUGGUGGGGUAACGGCCUACCAAGACUGCGAUAGGUAGCUGGUCUGAGAGGACGAUCAGCCACACUGGGACUGAGACACGGCCCAGACUCCUACGGGAGGCAGCAGUGGGGAAUCUUGCGCAAUGCGCGAAAGCGUGACGCAGCAACACCGCGU